UACGGAGGGUGCGAGCGUUGUUCGGAAUUACUGGGCGUAAAGCGCACGCAGGCGGCUGAGUCAGUCGAUUGUGAAAGCCCUGGGCUUAACCUGGGAAUUGCAGUCGAUACUACUCAGCUAGAGUAUGGGAGAGGGCAGUGGAAUUCCCGGUGUAGCGGUGAAAUGCGUAGAUAUCGGGAGGAACAUCAGUGGCGAAGGCGGCUGCCUGGCCCAAUACUGACGCUCAGGUGCGACAGCGUGGGGAGCAAACAGG
rnacentral:rRNA from 1 species